rnacentral:rRNA from 1 species
UACGGGGGGAGCAAGCGUUGUUCGGAUUUACUGGGCGUAAAGCGCACGUAGGCGGACUUUCAAGUCAGGGGUGAAAUCCCGGGGCUCAACCUCGGAAUUGCCUUUGAUACUGUAAGUCUCGAGUCCGGAAGAGGUGGGUGGAAUUCCUAGUGUAGAGGUGAAAUUCGUAGAUAUUAGGAAGAACACCGGUGGCGAAGGCGGCCCACUGGUCCGGUACUGACGCUGAGGUGCGAAAGCGUGGGGAGCAAACAGG